rnacentral:siRNA from 1 species
UCGAACCUUCACAAAGCUCAC